AUAUAUAUAAAUAUAAAUAGUUUAAAAAUAUAAUUUGAUAGAUAUUGCAAUUUUAUUAACUAAAUAUUAAAUGUUAAUGACUAGAAAUCUCAAAGAAAUGGUGAAUAACGCCAUAUUAUAUUGGAUCUCCUUUUGUUUGAUCCUCACCAACAGUGGAACAAGAUAGAUGCUCCGGUCUCUGAUUGGAAGGUACAGAACAGAAAUAUAAACAUUUGUAACAGACAUCUGUACUGAAGAUAAUGUCUUGGGAAGAACAACCUGCUCCGUUUCAUUGAAAUAAUUAUUAUCUGAUGUUGUUUCUAUAUCAGAUUCAUCAUUUUCAAAGAAAAUUUUAUCUUCACAUAGGCUAUUGUGUUCGACUGCAGCCAUACUAAAUGCACCGUGUCACGGAUGUGUAACAAGAGACGAUCGCUCUUUUUUUUUUUUUUCUUCCUUUUCUUCCCGUGAAGUUAGACGGAGCCGCUGCUUUGAAAUUGGCACGCGGGAUGAUUUUAGCUAUUCAAAGCCUGGCGGGAAGGAAGGAAAGAAUGGAGUUUCCAUUUUGGAUGUUGCAUAAAACACUAACAUUCAACCAAUGAGAGAGGGAAGAUAACCCACCCUUUCCGUUUCAAUGGGGAAACCGACAUCAGAGUUGCCCUUCUCCGCUUUCUUUUCAUUAAACCGACGACAUGCAGUCGCAGAGGGGCGGCGCUUUCGAAUGGCAGCAUCAAGGCGCAGACGCCUUCGGUUUCACACCGUGCUUCCGGUUUCAAUUAGAUCAAUCAUUUUCCCUAUCAGAAAUCUUUCCACUGUUCUGAAAUAAACGGCGGACCGCGAUGGAGCUUCCAUUUGCUUUUGCAAAUGUGUUUACACGGCACUAUAUACUUCACCGGAAUAAUUCCUGGUGUCUUUUUGCUCUGUACGAAAACGAACGAGUUUUACUUGGCGCCUGUACCGCACCGGUAUUGUGAGAUCCGUGAUUCCGUGGCAUCGCCUGAGUAAAUUCCAUCCAUUGGUGGGGGCGGCGGCCCUUACAAUUUACUGUUUCCACGUUCCGAUCUAUUUUAAUUAUUCCUUCGCGGUUUGAAAAAUUCCAUAAAUCUUCGUCCCCAAGGUAAUUAGCGGGGAUACUUUCGACUAGGCAUAAAUCCUGUAAUUCCUUCCAGGAACCCCGGAACAUUGACAACAGACGAGAUGCACUGGAACUCCAGUGUUUCUCAAGCUUUAAAAAUUUUAUAGAAAAAUUGAUUCAUAAUCUUCUUAUAAUUUUUUCAAUAAUGACAAUUUGACAAUUUAUGAUGAAAAUAAGGA